UACGGGGGGGGCAAGCGUUGUUCGGAUUCAUUGGGCGUAAAGGGUGUGUAGGUGGCGCCGUAAGUCGGGUGUGAAAUUUCGGAGCUUAACUCCGAAACUGCAUUCGAUACUGCGGUGCUUGAGGACUGGAGAGGAGACUGGAAUUCAUGGUGUAGCAGUGAAAUGCGUAGAGAUCAUGAGGAAGACCAGUGGCGAAGGCGGGUCUCUGGACAGUUCCUGACGCUGAGGCACGAAGGCCAGGGGAGCAAACGGG
rnacentral:rRNA from 1 species